rnacentral:rRNA from 1 species
UACGGGGGGGGCAAGCGUUGUUCGGAAUUACUGGGCGUAAAGGGCUCGUAGGCGGCCAACUAAGUCAGACGUGAAAUCCCUCGGCUUAACCGGGGAACUGCGUCUGAUACUGGAUGGCUUGAGUUUGGGAGAGGGAUGCGGAAUUUCAGGUGUAGCGGUGAAAUGCGUAGAUAUCUGGAGGAACACCGGUGGCGAAGGCGGCAUCCUGGACCAACACUGACGCUGAGGAGCGAAAGCCAGGGGAGCAAACGGG